rnacentral:rRNA from 1 species
AUUGAACGCUGGCGGCAUGCCUUACACAUGCAAGUCGGACGGUAACAGGUCUUCGGAUGCUGACGAGUGGCGAACGGGUGAGUAAUACAUCGGAACGUGCCUAGUAGUGGGGGAUAACUACUCGAAAGAGUGGCUAAUACCGCAUGAGAUCUACGGAUGAAAGCAGGGGAUCGCAAGACCUUGUGCUACUAGAGCGGCCGAUGGCAGAUUGGGUAGUUGGUGGGAUAAAAGCUUACCAGGCCGACGAUCUGUAGCUGGUCUGAGAGGACGAUCAGCCACACUGGGACUGAGACACGGCCCAGACUCCUACGGGAGGCAGCAGUGGGGAAUUUUGGACAAUGGGCGCAAGCCUGAUCCAGCAAUGCCGCGUGCAGGAUGAAGGCCUUCGGGUUGUAAACUGCUUUUGUACGGAACGAAAAGCCCCGGGUUAAUACCCUGGGGUCAUGACGGUACCGUAAGAAUAAGCACCGGCUAACUACGUGCCAGCCGCCGCCGUAA